UGGGGAAUAUUGGACAAUGGGGGCAACCCUGAUCCAGCAAUGCCGCGUGUGUGAAGAAGGCCUGAGGGUUGUAAAGCACUUUCAGUGGGGAGGAGGGUUAUUAGGUUAAGAGCUAGAUAAUUGGACGUUACCCACAGAAGAAGCACCGGCUAACUCCGUGCCAGCAGCCGCGGUAAUACGGAGGGUGCAAGCGUUAAUCGGAAUUACUGGGCGUAAAGAGUGCGUAGGUGGUUUGGUAAGUUAUCUGUGAAAUCCCUGGGCUCAACCUGGGCAGGUCAGAUAAUACUGCUGAACUCGAGUAUGGGAGAGGGUAGUGGAAUUUCCGGUGUAGCGGUGAAAUGCGUAGAGAUCGGAAGGAACACCAGUGGCGAAGGCGGCUACCUGGCCUAAUACUGACACUGAGGCACGAAAGCGUGGGGAGCAAACA
rnacentral:rRNA from 1 species